GGCAUGCUUUGUUAAUGUUUCUACAAUCUAAACAUAUUCGAAGCUUACCAUCCUUCUUUAGGACUGGAACUAUGUUCGCCAACCAUUCAGGAUAGUCAACAACAUCGAGAAAAUCGGCCUUAACUUGUUUAGCAACCUCCUCUCGUAUAUUCUCUGCCCAUUCCAGCCUUAGUCUUCUCAUCUUCUGCUUGACCAGCUUGAUGUGUGGAUGAGUUAG
rnacentral:lncRNA from 1 species